GCGAGGUUGACAGGUUGGUGUUGGUAGUUAGUACCGUAAAUGGCGGUUAAUUUCUUCAAAAUUAAUUUUUAUUUCAACUAAGUUAAAGUAUAGUCGUAUAGUGAAAAGUUACCACCACUUGUUUCCUGGAGUACGGGUUUCCUGGAGUAAGGAUGGGAGUACCAUCAGUGGAAGAGGAAUAAAAAAUUAACCGCCAUUUGGAAGAAAGCUAACCCUCAUGUGAAGUCGUACCCACCUUGACCACCAAGGGAAGCCACCUUGACCUUAUUGCAGCCACCACCAAGUCAACCUGGGAGUAUGUCAUUGGGAGCAAGCUUUGGGGAGCAUUCCAGCUCAAUUUUCGUCUUCGCACCUGGGUUUAGAGGAGGCAUGAUUUUGCAUCAUCCUGAUGCUCAUUUCUGAGGAUGCAUCAGCAACCUCUUUAGGAGUCGUUUGGGAACAAUUAGUGUGGUGAUAAGAGUAACUUGGUUUUUUUAUAUUUCAGACAUUUAUGUGAUACAUUAUGUUUAUUAAUUACUUUUUCAGAUUUAGCGUACCUUUUUUAUAUGACAUACUUGUAUACAUAUGACAUAUUUGAAUAUUAAUAUUUGGUUCCCAAACUAUUGUAGCUCUGGUAAGUUACUUGUGUACACAAGGGUAUAAGCCUAGAAAAUUAGGUUUUUAUAUUUUAUUAUUGGUUUGAUAUUUAUUUUUUGUAAUAUUACUUGCUUGUUUCCCAAAUAUUUUCUUAUUUAUUCGCUUUAUUUCAUUUGUUCGGUUAAUUCGUCAUUACUUUAUUUUAUUGCAUUUGCUCGGGUAAUUUUGGUCAUCGUUUCGGUAUUUAUCUCAACUUCAUUUCUAUAACUUUCAUUCAUUGUAUAUUUAACUUUGCUUAAUUCAUUUAGUCUUUUCCCUUAGUUAGGCUCAUGCCUAUUUAUAUAUAUUUAUUUGCAUUAUUUUCAUCUUCGUCGGUUUCAAUUCAGUUGUACGUAGCAAGCGUACUAUAACCAUUUGGUAGAAGACUCAUGUUAGUUGUACCCUAUAUGUAAGUGAGAGGUAAUUAUGUAAUUUGUAACAGAUUAGUUAUUGUAGUUAGCACAAAUAUAACUUUUGUAUAACUUUUGUCAUGUUAGAGUCACAGGAUAUGCACUUUGUGUAACUCAGAGAUUGUCAAAAAUCUGGUAGUUAUUUUUAAUAAAUAUUUAUUUAUUUUGUA
rnacentral:lncRNA from 1 species